GCAAACAGGGGGUACGAGAAAGCAGCUUCAUGGAGCUUCCAGCAGGAGCCAAAACAACCGCAGCCAUGUGCUUGUGGAAUGGAGAAUAAUGAAUGUUCAAAUAACAAGGACUCUCUGGGCUUAAAUAAUUGUUGAAUUGAAUUGAAUUGACCUAUCCUGGAUCAGUCCUCAAUCUAUAAAUGUAGCAGUUGUUGGGCGCAUACAGACUUUGGACUGCCCAUAGAUCAUCAACUACGUUCUCUUCUAACCAUUCUGAUCUAAGAAGUUGUGUAAUUUUGAUUCCAGAUGGGCUAAGAAGAUGGUGUCAUUAAUAUACGUACAACAGUUUGCUUUUACCAAAGAACAAACUCCUCCUUGGAAAGCAGGUAAAUAAUAAAGAGCUAAUCUAUUUUGUAAUGUAAUUGUCUUUAUCUGUGCUAUUUCAGAGAGAGAGAGAACAGCCUCACCUAAAUUACUGAGUCAUCUUGUCUAACAUCAUUUGUAACCUUAACUAUAUAUACACACACACACACAUAAAUACACAUACACAAGCACAUAUGUAUGUAUAUAUUCCAUAGAUUAAACCAAUUUCAGUAACUAAAGUUAUCAUAAUGGUUAUAGAAUAGUCAAUUAGUGCUCUCUUGGUCAAUGGGUAUAGAUAUAAUCUGAAGUCUCUGGCUAGGGGUGGAAACAUUUCCCCAUUUUGGGUGUGUUCCCAUUGUGAUUUUUAUCAUUUGGCUUUUAAAAAUACCUCCACAAUAGAGUGCUUGUUUAUUGUUUUUUAAUGAUGGGCAUUCACCCAAUUUCUGAUAACUGUAUUAAAACAGCAUUUGUCCUGUUUUAACCUCGAUGUCCACUUUAUUUAUCCUAUUUUUUAAAUAUCUUUAAAAGAUCUACAUACCAUUGGGAGGAGUUCUUUGACUGUUUCUUUACUCUACUCUUGGUAAGCAGUUUAGCCUUCGCUUCUUUAACAUAAGUUUUCUUUAUAGAUAAAUCCAUAACAUCUUAGCUAACUUUUUAACUUUGUUCCAUCUAGGUUUGUCGUAUGCGUCCCUUUUUCUCAUUCUGGAACUACUAAGUUCUUACUGCAAGACAAAAUUAAAUUGCUUUUAAGCUGACAUAAAAACUUUUGUCAGAACAAAUCCAUUUUCAUAAAUUCUUUGGAAUAUUAGGAUUACUAAACUUAUGUAAACACUUAUCACUAAACCAACCAGAAUAGAGUUCUAUGAAGAAAUAUUAUAAUCUAAUUCAAUAAUACCAUCUGGAAGUAGGGAAGUAUUCCAUUUUUAUAACCCUAUCUUCUGCACCUGAAUUUAGAGACCAUCUCAAGACUAGAUUUGAUGCAUUGAACACUAAUGACCGAAGACCAGAUGACAUGUGGAAUGACAUCAAGGACAUCAUACAUGAAGAAAGCAAUA